GCCUGGGUGGCUCAGUCGGUUGAGCGUCUGACUUCGGCUCAGAGUUCGUGGGUUCGAGCCCCGCGUCGGGCU